UACGGGGGGAGCAAGCGUUAUCCGGAUUCACUGGGUUUAAAUGGUGCGUAGGUGGGCAGGUAAGUCAGUGGUGAAAUCUCCGGGCUUAACUCGGAAACUGCCAUUGAUACUAUCUGUCUUGAAUACCGUGGAGGUCAGCGGAAUAUGUCAUGUAGCGGUGAAAUGCUUAGAUAUGACAUAGAACACCAAUUGCGAAGGCAGCUGGCUACACGAAUAUUGACACUGAUGCACGAAAGCGUGGGGAUCAAACAGG
rnacentral:rRNA from 1 species